GGGGGAUAUUGCACAAUGGAGGAAACUCUGAUGCAGCAACGCCGCGUGAGGGAAGAAGGUUUUCGGAUUGUAAACCUCUGUCCUCAGGGACGAUAAUGACGGUACCUGAGGAGGAAGCUCCGGCUAACUACGUGCCAGCAGCCGCGGUAAUACGUAGGGAGCAAGCGUUGUCCGGAUUUACUGGGUGUAAAGGGUGCGUAGGCGGCACUGCAAGUCAGGUGUGAAAACCAUGGGCUUAACUCAUGGAUUGCACUUGAAACUGUGGUGCUUGAGUGAAGUAGAGGCAGGCGGAAUUCCCGGUGUAGCGGUGAAAUGCGUAGAGAUCGGGAGGAACACCAGUGGCGAAGGCGGCCUGCUGGGCUUUAACUGACGCUGAGGCACGAAAGCAUGGGUAGCAAAC
rnacentral:rRNA from 1 species